UUUAUUGGAGAGUUUGAUCCUGGCUCAGGAUGAACGCUGGCGGCGUGCCUAAUACAUGCAAGUCGAGCGAAUGAAUUAAGAGCUUGCUCUUAUGAAGUUAGCGGCGGACGGGUGAGUAACACGUGGGUAACCUGCCCAUAAGACUGGGAUAACUCCGGGAAACCGGGGCUAAUACCGGAUAACAUUUUGAACUGCAUGGUUCGAAAUUGAAAG
rnacentral:rRNA from 1 species